rnacentral:rRNA from 1 species
AAGUCGAGCGGUAAGGCCCUUCGGGGUACACGAGCGGNGAACGGGUGAGUAACACGUGGGUGAUCUGCCCUGUACUUCGGGAUAAGCCUGGGAAACUGGGUCUAAUACCGGAUAUGACCUUACAUCGCAUGGUGUUUGGUGGAAAGAUUUAUCGGUACAGGAUGGGCCCGCGGCCUAUCAGCUUGUUGGUGGGGUAAUGGCCUACCAAGGCGACGACGGGUAGCCGGCCUGAGAGGGCGACCGGCCACACUGGGACUGAGACACGGCCCAGACUCCUACGGGAGGCAGCAGUGGGGAAUAUUGCACAAUGGGCGAAAGCCUGAUGCAGCGACGCCGCGUGAGGGAUGACGGCCUUCGGGUUGUAAACCUCUUUCGACAGGGACGAAGCGCAAGUGACGGUACCUGUAGAAGAAGCACCGGCCAACUACCUUCCAGCAGCCGCGGUAAUACGUAGGGUGCGAGCGUUGUCCGGAAUUACUGGGCGUAAAGAGCUUGUAGGCGGUUUGUCGCGUCGUCCGUGAAAACUUGGGGCUCAACCCCAAGCUUGCGGGCGAUACGGGCAGACUUGAGUACUGCAGGGGAGACUGGAAUUCCUGGUGUAGCGGUGAAAUGCGCAGAUAUCAGGAGGAACACCGGUGGCGAAGGCGGGUCUCUGGGCAGUAACUGACGCUGAGAAGCGAAAGCGUGGGUAGCGAACAGGAUUAGAUACCCUGGUAGUCCACGCCGUAAACGGUGGGCGCUAGGUGUGGGUUUCCUUCCACGGGAUCCGUGCCGUAGCUAACGCAUUAAGCGCCCCGCCUGGGGAGUACGGCCGCAAGGCUAAAACUCAAAGGAAUUGACGGGGGCCCGCACAAGCGGCGGAGCAUGUGGAUUAAUUCGAUGCAACGCGAAGAACCUUACCUGGGUUUGACAUACACCGGAAACCUGCAGAGAUGUAGGCCCCCUUGUGGUCGGUGUACAGGUGGUGCAUGGCUGUCGUCAGCUCGUGUCGUGAGAUGUUGGGUUAAGUCCCGCAACGAGCGCAACCCUUGUCCUGUGUUGCCAGCGCGUUAUGGCGGGGACUCGCAGGAGACUGCCGGGGUCAACUCGGAGGAAGGUGGGGACGACGUCAAGUCAUCAUGCCCCUUAUGUCCAGGGCUUCACACAUGCUACAAUGNCCGGUACAGAGGGCUGCGAUACCGUGAGGUGGAGCGAAUCCCUUAAAGCCGGUCUCAGUUCGGAUCGGGGUCUGCAACUCGACCCCGUGAAGUUGGAGUCGCUAGUAAUCGCAGAUCAGCAACGCUGCGGUGAAUACGUUCCCGGGCCUUGUACACACCGCCCGUCACGUCAUGAAAGUCGGUAACACCCGAAGCCGGUGNCCUAACCCCUUGUGGGAGGGA